UGUGGGAGCGGGCUUGCUCGCGAAAGCGGAGGGUCAGUUUUCGGUGAUGUUGGCUGUGCCGACGCCUUCGCGAGCAAGCCCGCUCCCACA
rnacentral:misc_RNA from 1 species